rnacentral:lncRNA from 1 species
CUUGUUCAACGCAAUGUUUUCGAGUUCUUAGCCCAUUUGGGACCCAAUUUCAACAAGUCUUUCUCUAUACUUCAGAACACUCUUCACGCAUCUCUAGCACUUGUAAUCAAUCAAAUUCAUUGUAUUCUAACAUAUUCUAACCCCAAACAACACUAGAUAAUUCAUUUACUUGUUCAACGCAAUGUUUCCGAGUUCUUAACCCAUUUGGGACCCAAUUUN